rnacentral:rRNA from 2 species
AAAGUCUGAUGGAGCAACGCCGGGUGAGUGAUGAAGGUUUUCGGAUCGUAAAACUCUGUUGUAAGGGAAGAACCAGUACGUCAGGCAAUGGACGAUAAUGACGGUACCGGAAGAGGAAGCCACGGCUAACUACGUGCCAGCAGCCGCGGUAAUACGUAGGUGGCGAGCGUUGUCCGGAAUUACUGGGCGUAAAGGGUGUGCAGGCGGAUAUUUAAGUGAGAUGUGAAAGACCCGGGCUUAACCCGGGCAGUGAAUUUCAAACUGGAUAUCUAGAGUGCAGGAGAGGAGAAUGGAAUUCCUAGUGUAGCGGUGAAAUGCGUAGAGAUUAGGAAGAACACCAGUGGCGAAGGCGAUUCUCUGGACUGUAACUGACGCUGAGGCACGAAAGCGUGGGUAGCAAACA